rnacentral:lncRNA from 1 species
AAGGAAAUGACGAUAAUGAAACAGAAGAGAAGAGCAUUGCAGUAAGGAAGGAACUUUCAAGAGAAAAGGAUAAGGGUUAGAUGAACAGUGCAACAAUGGUGAAAAUUGGAGGGUGUGGUUAAAAAGAUAAGAAUGAAGUAAAUAAGAUAUAUACACUGCAGCAGCAAACAUAACAAGAUGUUUCGUGGCAGUGGCGAGGCCAGUGAAGAAGUUUUUUUGUGAAUAAAU